GAGUGGUGCGAACGAUGAUUCAGUUAAAUGCGCGAUGUAACCUUAUGAUCUAAAGUUUUUGAGGCAUAAAUUUUGUCUGACCCAUCAAUC